GAAUCUGCUUCGCCCCGCUUGCGGGGAGAAGGUGGCCGGCAGGCCGGAUGAGGGCAAGCCAAAAACAUACCGGCCGUUUCUUCGCGCUCGGGGCAUCGCGCACCCCAUUGGCAUCAACUGAAGCCUC
rnacentral:sRNA from 1 species